AUGGCAUCCCUCACUCAGGUCCUCUGCCUCCUGCUUUUCUGGCUAGCAGGUUCCCAAGGGGAAGUUGUUCUGACUCAGUCUCCAGCCUCUGUGUCUGUGUCUCUGGGAGAGAGAGUCACCAUCAAGUGCAAGGCCAGUCAGAGCCUCUUACACAGUGAUGGGAACACUUAUCUCUACUGGUUCCAACAGAAACAAGGAAAAUUUAUUAAAGCACUGAUCUACAAAGUUUCCAAUCUACACUCUGGGGUUCCCCCUCGGUUCAUUGGCAGUGGGUCUGGGACAGAUUUCACCCUCACAAUCAGCAGUCUGGAGGCUGAGGAUGCUGCCAUGUAUUACUGUUAUCAAGGCACUCACUGGCCUCCGACACAGUGCUUCAGCCCUGAACAAAAACCUCCCCAUAUCAUUCAGUCCUGACUCAGAGGAAGAGCUGCUUUCCCCUGAGGCCUAGACUCACAGCAGCUGCUAUCUAGCAUCAAAAUAAGGUCUAGUUUAGCCUUUCCU